GGUUUUUUUUUCGCAGAAUAACAUCCACUAAACCCCCUAAACCCUCCGCCUCCCCCUCGCGCCGUCCCCGUCGCCUCCGCCACCGCCUCCGCCGCCGCCGCUGCCGUGUACCGCCGCCGUUCAAAUUAUUCCCCUCUUCCGCUCCACUCUCCCGUCUCUCUCUCUCUCUCUCUCUCUCUCUCUCUCCACACAGAGCACGCAUCCGCCACCCCCACACGGGAGCGGAGAGCUCGCCGCCGGCGAUCGCCGCAGGAAUCCGAGGGUUUCUUCCUGCGUCCGCGGUAGAUGGUUCUGCUCGAACGAUCGCCGUUGGUGGUGCCGGAGGCAGCCGCCGCUGCCGCCUCCAGCCCGCUCCGGAGGCCGUCGCCUAGGGUUCGGAGGGAGGUGCCACCCCCUCCCCUCGAUCCCAUCCUCCCCUACCUUCAGGUCUAUCAACAAGGCUAUGGAUGAGCUCAGGAGAGGCCCAAAAUUUGAAGCAGCAGCCCUUGAUUGGCUCAAGAUUUGUGUAAUGGAAUGCAUUGAUAAGUAUGGUGACGAUUACCAGUACUCCACAGACCCCCGACUCCUCAAGAUCUGGAUCCUCUAUGCGGAUGCAUUAUGUUUUUGUUGAAGUGAACUUUUUGGGCAGCAAUAACCUGAUGUCAAAUUUGCCAUGUUGAUGUGAUCGCAAACCAUUUCUGUGGUACCAGAAAAGCCGAGCCACUUGAUCAUUUGAAGAAGACACAUACAAUAUUUUUAAAACACUUGGAGAAGAUUGUAGAAGAAGCUGAUGCCGAUGCCCAGCCGAAACCAUCCAAAAUGCAAAAGAAAGAACCUAUUUUGCUGGAUCCAUGGUCUGAGUCUACUAUGAAUAAUUUAUUGGAGAACAUUAAUGUUGACCUGAAGAAGUUCGCUGGCUAUCAUCAGAGCAACAAGGUCUAUCAUGGAAAGGUGCCAUUAACUUCGCCUCAGAAUGUUUUAAGAAACAAAGUCACUGAAUUAGGUACUGGAACGUGGAGCUGUGGAAAAACCUCUUCUGCACACUGUUCAACGCGACCUCCAACAGCAGCGAAGCGGCUGUGCUCCGGAGCCUCCGGAUGUCUUUCCAGGAGUACCUGUACACCAACGGGCAGCUCGUCGGCAAGCUGAACCAGCAACUGGCCAAAUAGAAGACCUCCCUGUGCCUAUCCUGACCGAGACAUAUGCAUCUCGUUUCACCUGCAUCUUUAUUCCCGAUUCCCUUGUGUUGCCUGUGGGAUACUUCAAAAUUCUGUGCCAUUAUGCAAAGGAGGUACCACUCAUCUACUAAUCUGUUUGCUAUAGAUGAGAAAAGAUUCAAUUAGUUCAUGACGAAGAUAUCUAUGAGAAAAUGUUGUCCCAAAUCCCCUAAUGAUUGCUGUUUUUUCUAACCUAGCCCACAUCAUGUAAGAUCCAUUGUCCUCUGUCAUUGCUACUUUUCUGUAAGUGUACAUGAUUGUAUAAACAAUUAUGUGAGCAAACAGAUCAUAUUCACAUUUGAAUCUUGGUGAUAGUCAUAAUGUGUAUUAGUGUAUGCA